AAUGUUGACAUUUUGCUUUUGUACAGACAGUCGCACUGAUGAGUUGCGUUUAAAAAAAAACAAAUAUAAGAAAAGCAAGAAGUUCCUCAAAUUCUGACAAAUCGUCUGGUCCGCGCGGUCCGUUUUCUUUCGAUGUCGUUCACAAGAGGUCAUGGAUGCCGGCACUAAUUCUACUCCCGCACCACUCAAUAAAUUCUUUCACGGCGGACGUGGCGGAUUCAAGUUUAUCGUAACGAUGUGCUUGAGGAUGUGCUGCUGCCUACGAUGUUCAACACGUCGUGUGACUACCUGCAUCAUGCUCCCUCCGGAACUCAUGUACUGCAGCUGGAACAACAACAUCGGAUGAAUAGCCAUUUAACGACAGAUGCCAAGAAUCAAUCAGACACUGCUCGCAAGGAAGCCGGCACCAAGGUUACUCAGUAGGCAUCUGUCGAAUGUGACAACGAGACCAAUUUAAUCGGAUUAAAUGAGUAUUUUGACGGCAUGGACCAAGGCAUGGACUAUAUUUUAGGGCCGAGGAAAUAAGGAAUCAUAAAAUUAUUGAGUUUCCGACGGACUGAAUCAUCUACGACAGGAAAAUUCGUAAUUUAAAGAGAAGCGUUUGAAUCCGUAUGAAGAAACGUUACGCUGGUUGGAUCCAAGAAAACACGAUUCUGGCAACGGGCCAGACUGACUAAAAUACCGGAAGUUGGAUACAACCAAGAUACGAUGGAUAGUUUUGGUUCAGUCAGGAGUUUUGUUGUUGUAUACGGAGGAUCUCAGGUCGUUGGACAGAAAUCUUUCCACACGUCUCAAAAUGGGCACAAUUUCAGUUACACAUUUUUGCACAUGCACAUUUGUUCGUAUUAUUUUAAAGUUAUUUAUAUCAAUUAUUAUUUCAUUUUAAUUUAAUUUUAAUUAAGCUUCGAUUUAGUUUUAAUUUAGUUUUAAUUGAGUUUUAAUUGAGUUUAAAUUUAGUUUAAAUUUAGUUUUAAUUAAGUUUUAAUUUAUUUUUAAUUUACGUUUAAUUCACUUUUAAUUUACUUUUAAUUUAAUUUUAAUUUAGUAUUAAUUUACCGUCGUCGGGGGUGAGAAUGGGUCACGGUUUCAACUACUUAGAAUGCUUGUAGAAUGGAUUGAAUGUAUCUUAGGGCAAGAAGACUUAAAUAUAAGAGACCUUUUUGAACGUUUUUUCUCUACGACCUCCAGGCUGCCGGUGAGAGCGAUGACUCAUUCUCACCCCCCAGACUUAUUUGGGCUUAUUCUACGAGUGGAGUAACGUGAGAGUGCUCGAAUGACGUGAGAAAACUCAAACUGAAUUAAAACUAAAUAAAGCCCCAUUUGAAU